GCUGCCGGGCACCGGGCCAAGCGCUCUGCAAAAGCUGGCGGGGAGAAGAGGCAGUGAGCUGCGAGCUGGAGGGACCUGCACUGCAAAUUGCUCCAUGGGGGGAACUCAUCCGAGCUCCAGUGGCCAUAAAACAGCAUCCUUCUGGGGGCUGAAAGCACGAGGAAGAGGCAUGAACCCACCCAGGGGCAUCAGGGUGCUCCUUGAGUGGAGGGUCUGACCCAAAGCAAUGCACACAUCCAUGAUUCCCCAUUGCUGGUAGUGCAGCCUCACACCCAACCUUUCUAACUUCUUGCCCGUGCUGUGCAGAAGUCCUUCUGCUAAAGGAGUCCUGGUGCAAAACCCUGCAAAACCCUACUGCUUAUGGCCUGCAUUGCUUCCAAGAGGAGGGGAGAUGGUUGGAUCUCAAUGCCAUCACACAGAGGACCCAUAGAGGUGGGCAGAAGGGCUGUGGCAGCGCUGAGACCACCUUGGUGCUGGGGAAUACUCUCUUCUUAGCUCCGAUGGGGAUUUUGUUUGUUGCAGCGUUGUUUGAUAGAUGACCUUUAAGGGUCCCUUCCAAUUCAAACAAUUCUAUCAUUUUGUUUCCCUUUUUUUCUUCCCGUUUUCCUGACACAGUUGCAGUUGUACACAUUCCGGGAUGGAAAAGACAAAAAGCAAAGAGAAACACUUCCACUGAUCACAUCCGAAAUGAACACCACUGUUAUUUUUGUUGUUCUUCUUUGUUGUUGCUCUGUUUUGACUUAUGGAGGGUUUUGACAUGGUGGUGUUUUGUUCUGUGUCAGAAGGAAAACAAACCCUGAAAUACCAAAUUCUUUCACACAAUGGCCUUUCCUUUCUCUACACACGUCCCUGUGAGAUGGGCCUCUUGCAGCUCUCCUCUCUUCCCAGAACAAGAGAACAAAUACCAGGAAAUCUGGAGAGAUGAGCUGCAUGGAGCUGGCUGCAGUGCAGGAGCGCGGAGCAGCCCCAUCUUUUUCAUAGCUCCACUGCUGGCUGGUCCCCACCCAGAGGCCAGGUAAACCUCUAGCCAGGAAGGAUGACCCCUCUGCCAUUGUCAUUAUUCUGCUGAGGCCUUCAGACUCCUCAGACAAUGAUAAUAUAUCACACACAGAAUAGUAACUCAGGGAGGCCAAAGUCUGGAUCUGCCCCAGAUGGGGACUUGAUCUCCCAAGUGGCAGUGCUGACCCUACUGACUGGGAACUUGAAGCUUAUGCCUCAAUGGCCAGAGUUUUCCUGCUGCAUCCAGGACCACCAGGUAUCCCAAAGUAAAAUGAGCAAGUCAAAUUCAUGAUCCAUCCUCCCUGGUUCCCAUGGAGCUCCAGGAGCUCUUAGUGACUUUGGUUCUCCUCCACUGUGGUUCAUCCUCUAGUCCUCCUUGUUCUUAUACCCUGCAUGGCAAAACAGAAAAGAUCUCAGUGCAGAUGGUCAGCACUGUGCUCCAUCUUCUUCCCUUGCACUAGGCAAGCACACAUUCCCCUGGGGUCUGACAGCUGGCCAGCAGGAAUCAGAAGGUGCUUUGGAGAUGCUGAGAAGGGUGUUAGUGAACUGUUGCACAAGCCACUGCAGAAAAAAAAGGUGUGGGAAGGGUUUUAGGCAGCAAAAGCAUGAUGAUUUAAUCAACUUCUGCAGGAUUUUUGCCAGCCAUAUCCUGUCCAGCUUGCAUUGCACUGGCUGGCAAUGAGGCGAGUCGGUGGCAGCCAACUUCCAAUGACCACGACUAGCUUCCUUUCAGCCUCAGUAGCUGAUUCAUGUUUUGGUCUUCUGCCCCACCCAGUCUAGAGUGAGUUCAGCACGUCUUCCUGAGCAUCGCUUUCCUGCCUCAAGGCUCUCCCUCCUCCGCUGACCUUCCCACAUUCACAGUCCAACCUUCUGCCACCAGUCCCUCUCUGUUCUCCUGGACUGGACACCACGUAAGGCAAGAGCCAACAGCUUGUUGGCUUUGACUCACCAUCAUCUAGGAAAAACGCUGGCCUAUCCUGAUGGCUGUGCUUCCUCUUGCACCAUCUGCUGUUCACCACAGCCAUCCCCAGCCCAAAGAAUCCGUGUUCGUCUCCAUCACCCUGCCUCUUGGCAAAAGGCAGCUCCUGUGGCCACCACUCCUAUAUGGUGCUGCUGAAGAUGGCAUCUGGGAAGCGGAGCUGUGGAAAUUGAGCAUGGGCAACAUGCUGGCACCCCGGCAGUGGCUUUUUGCAUUUCUUGAGGCUUUUGCUGGGGCAGUGGCUCAGAAACAUCAAUCUACAUAAAGCUCAAGUUUGGCCUCAGUGAUGUACCUGUCUACAGUCGGAGACAGGAAUCAAAACCUGAUGGUUUCCUGUGGGAUCUGGACUCUUCACCGAUGGGAGCGUGUGUGGUCUGUUUCCUUAAAUAACCACCACAUGGGUUUUCUCUCUGACAGAUGAGCAGCUCGCAGGUGCAGUCUGAGGCUGAGAGAUGGAAAAUCAAAAGAGCUGCCUUGAUGUGGUCUCUUACUGUCUUGCAGAGAAAAGAAUAGGUGAGGUCUGGCUCCCCUUUUCUGCCAGGAUGUUCAGAUGUUCCAUCAGUACAAUUUUUCCCCUCUGUUCCUGUGGGUCAGGAAAGUAUCAUUACUGCAACUUAAAGAGAGGAGAUGGGUAAUGUCUGAAGGACUGGGAUGCAUCCUCUGGAACAAUGAGGAUCUGCUUGCAUAGCAAAAGACCCAGAAGAAGUGGGGCUUCGUCCAUGUACAAUAACAGAAAACAAAAGCUUUUCUUUCUCCCUAAAUAAGUCAGUUCUGUGUUUCCUUUGUGGUUCACUUUUAAAAGCUUGCUGAAUUUAAGGAGGAUGUGGUCACACACAUUGGAAGCUCCAGAUGCUAAGACAUAAAAACACAAUUCUGUGCUAAACUCAUCUUUCUGAUGAGUUAAAUCUCAUGUGCUUUCACUCUAUUUUUCUUACAGGCUGCCAUAGCUCCCAUGUCCCUGGGAGAGCAUUUGCCCACCACAUCAGAUAACCCCUCCUUCAUUCCUCUGACAGGACCCAGCCUUCUAUUAUUUACUGAUGUCACUGUAGCCUAGGAGAGAAAUCAACACAGUCAUGAAUUAUGAACCAUGCUGGUAGGACAUUUCACUCUGAUUGUUUGAUUUGAGUGUGAACAAACACCAGAUAAUUAAAGAUGAGUUCAAGCUACAGCACUCACUUCUGUCUCCUGAAUUGCCCUGCGUGGUGAGUGGGAAGUGUCUGGAUUGAGAGCUUCAUGUGCAUAAUUACAAAGGUUCCAAGUGCUGCUGCAUGGCACACAUCAUGGCCUGGGUGGACAACUCACACAGGGUGAAGGCACUGAAUGGCAGUCGAUGGCCUGUCCCACCAGAGUCCGGAUGGAAAAUAUGGAUUUCCUUUAAAUGCUCGAGAGAGGGAGUGGAGUCUCAGAUGCAGCUGUCCUUGUAAAACAGGGAGCGUGAGGACUGCUAGGACUCGAGCUUUCCAUGUAUACACUGACCCUGGUGGUCUGAGCACCAAAUUAGACCCUGAAGUUCCCAUCAUAAUCAAGAGGAUAAUACUGAAAUAAGACUCUAUAACCCACAACAUCUUCUACACGACACUUCAGUGCAGACCCCUGUCUCCUAUUUGGGCCAGCCCCAAUGUGCCAUCUCCUGCUGCUCCUCCAAAAUGAAGAAGGAUGCUCUCAUUGGAGGAUGCUUUCAAGCUCAGGGGCGCUUCUAGACCCAAGCUUCAAAGCUGGGAAUAAAGUGCAAUCAUUGCCUCAGA